ensembl:lncRNA
GUCUAAUCAUUCACUCAUAACAGCAAAAUCCAGCAGGUUAGCUAGAACAGUUAUAGCUAGCUGUUUUAGUGGUGAAAUUAUGGAGGGUUUAAAACAGAGAUGUGCAUUCUGAGGAGUUUUGAUAUCAGAGUCUCUGUAAGAGUUUAUGAAUAGAUAUUCAGUUAAACAUGCAUACAGAGAAUAUGAUUGAAAAACAUGUCUUAUUAUUCCAAAAGAACUGAGAGUUUGGAAAUUGGUACUGUCAGGACUGUCAUCCUCUACCUGAGGCCUUUUCUCCUCGCUGGACGUGGACCAACAUUUUUCUGCUUGUGGCUCAGCCUGAAUUUUUAUGUGGCCUGGAUGACAGACUUUAGCCAUGAAUAACCAUGAAGUAUCCAAAGCAGCUUCUUGUGUCUGUCUCUGAGAAAUGCCACCAUAGAGAUGGAAGCCACUGGAGGAGAAAGGCCAGCACCCGCCCAAGACCUCCCACCCUCGGCCUUCUGCUUGUUCUUCUGCUGUUCUCUCUGCAGCUACUUCAUCAUCCAGGCCCUCAAAGGGAGGAAGAUUACAGUGUCCAGAUUUAUGACCCAGUCCUGACCCUUCUGUGGUCCAAGCUGGGCUUUCAAGGCUUGGUGAGAAAAAUGAAGAGAUCACUGCAGCUCUGACUGGAAGUUCUGAAAGAACAAGCAUUAGACAAGCCAGUAGCAUUUAACCCUUUGAAGUUGACCUUGGAGUUAACAAAAAUGCACUUUUUAUUGAUUCUUUCUCAUACUUAAUGGAAACAUGCAGAGAAAUUCUGUCAGCAGUGAAGAUGAUUAACGUUCAAUCCAUACUGUAUUCAUGCUUGUAACUAGAAGACAAGGUAUUUUAUUAGGAAUCAAAUUUAAUAUACACUAUAUUACCAAAACUAUUAGCUGGUCUGCCUUUGACCGCAUGAGUGAGAUCCCAUUCUUAAUCUAUAGGGUUUAAUAUGAUGUUGGCUGACCCUUUGCAGCUACAACAAUUUCAACUCUUCUGGGAAUCCACAAGAUUUAGG